CCUANGGGGGGCUGCAGUAAGGAAUAUUGGGCAAUGGACGAAAGUCUGACCCAGCCAUGCCGCGUGAAGGAUUAAGGUCCUCUGGAUUGUAAACUUCUUUUCUCUGGGGCGAAAACCACCCUUUCUAGGGUAUUUGACAGUACCAGAGGAAUAAGCACCGGCUAACUCCGUGCCAGCAGCCGCGGUAAUACGGAGGGUGCAAGCGUUAUCCGGAUUCACUGGGUUUAAAGGGUGCGUAGGUGGGUCUGUAAGUCAGUGGUGAAAUCCCCGAGCUUAACUUGGGAACUGCCGUUGAUACUAUAGAUCUUGAAUAUCGUGGAGGUAAGCGGAAUAUGUCAUGUAGCGGUGAAAUGCUUAGAUAUGACAUAGAACACCAAUUGCGAAGGCAGCUUACUACCCGAUCAUUGACACUGAGGCACGAAAGCGUGGGGAGCAAACAGGAUUAGAUACCCCGNUANUC
rnacentral:rRNA from 1 species